ACCUGGGUGGCUCAGUCGGUUGAGUGUCUGACUUCAGCUCAGGUCAUGAUCUCACAGUUUGUGAGAUUGAGCCUCACAUCAGGCA
rnacentral:tRNA from 1 species